rnacentral:rRNA from 1 species
GAAGAUUACUAAGGGAGGAGUGGCGAACGGGUGAGUAACGCGUGAGCAACCUGCCUAUGACAGUGGGAUAGCCUCGGGAAACCGGGAUUAAUACCGCAUAAAAUCGUAGAAACACAUGUUUUAACGGUCAAAGAUUUAUCGGUCAUAGAUGGGCUCGCGUCUGAUUAGCUAGUGGGUGAGAUAACAGCCCACCAAGGCGACGAUCAGUAGCCGGUCUGAGAGGAUGAACGGCCACAUUGGAACUGAGACACGGUCCAAACUCCUACGGGAGGCAGCAGUGGGGAAUAUUGCACAAUGGGGGAAACCCUGAUGCAGCGACGCCGCGUGAACGAAGAAGGUAUUCGUAUCGUAAAGUUCUGUCCUAUGGGAAGAUAAUGACAGUACCAUAGAAGAAAGCUCCGGCUAAAUACGUGCCAGCAGCCGCGGUAAUACGUAUGGAGCGAGCGUUGUCCGGAAUUAUUGGGCGUAAAGGGUACGCAGGCGGUUUAAUAAGUCGAAUGUUAAAGAUCGGGGCUCAACCCCGUAAAGCAUUGGAAACUGAUAAACUUGAGUAGUGGAGAGGACAAAGUGGAAUUCCUAGUGUAGUGGUGAAAUACGUAGAUAUUAGGAGGAAUACCAGUAGCGAAGGCGACUUUCUGGACACAAACUGACGCUGAGGUACGAAAGCGUGGGGAGCAAACAGGAUUAGAUACCCUGGUAGUCCACGCCGUAAACGAUGCACGCUAGGUGUUNGGGGAUCAUACCUCGGUGCCGAAGUUAACACAUUAAGCAUUCCGCCUGGGGAGUACACACGCAAGUGUG